rnacentral:rRNA from 1 species
AUACGUAGGUGGCAAGCGUUAUCCGGAAUUAUUGGGCGUAAAGAGUGAGCAGGCGGUUAAUUAAGGCUGAGGUUAAAGCGUGGGGCUCAACCCCAUAAAGCCUUGGAAACUGAUUGACUAGAGUACGGGAGAAGUGAAGGGAACUCCAUGUGUAGCGGUGAAAUGCGUAGAUAUAUGGAAGAACACCAGUGGCGAAGGCGCUUCACUAGCCCGAAACUGACGCUCAGUCACGAAAGCGUGGGUAGCAAAUAGGAUUAGAUACCCUAGUAGUCCACGCUGUAAACGAUGGCAACUAAAUAUUGCCGCGAGGCAGUGUUGAAGCUAACGCAUUAAGUUGUCCGCCUGGGGAGUACGGUCGCAAGACUGAAACUCAAAUGAAUUGACGGGG